AGAUGCUUUAGUGCCUUCGGGAACUCUGAGACAGGUGCUGCAUGGCUGUCGUCAGCUCGUGUUGUGAAAUGUUGGGUUAAGUCCCGCAACGAGCGCAACCCUUAUCCUUUGUUGCCAGCACGUAAUGGUGGGAACUCAAAGGAGACUGCCGGUGAUAAACCGGAGGAAGGUGGGGAUGACGUCAAGUCAUCAUGGCCCUUACGAGUAGGGCUACACACGUGCUACAAUGGCGCAUACAAAGAGAAGCGACCUCGCGAGAGCAAGCGGACCUCAUAAAGUGCGUCGUAGUCCGGAUUGGAGUCUGCAACUCGACUCCAUGAAGUCGGAAUCGCUAGUAAUCGUAAAUCAGAAUGUUACGGUGAAUACGUUCCCGGGCCUUGUACACACCGCCCGUCACACCAUGGGAGUGGGUUGCAAAAGAAGUAGAUAGCUUAACCUUCGGGAGGGCGUUUACCACUUUGUGAUUCAUGACUGGGGUGAAGUCGUAACAAGGUAAGCGUAGUGCU
rnacentral:rRNA from 1 species